GAAACUUUAUGUCCCUGGGCCUGGGUUUUCUCAUCCGCAAAAUGAGUGGAACAUUUCAGAGCUCCAAAGUGCCUUGCCCUGGGGCUGGAAGAAAGUCUUGGACUCUGGGAGUUGGGGGAACACAGAGAAACCCCAGGGAGGUUCUUUGAGUGAGGGGAGCGUCUAGAACAUGCUGCUGGCGUCUCUCCCCAGUCUUGAGGAUGACGAAGGAUGUGCGGGAUGAAAAAGUGACACCGGGGCUGGCAGACACCGGACAUGACCGGGACUUCAUUCGGGGUGAAAUGUUCAGGCAAAUAAAGGUUGUCCAGGCACGCAAUGGACUUCCUGACAUCAACUAACCAGGCGACAUCCUGGAUAGGCCUCUUCAAAGAUGGCCAAGGAAGUGCCCACAGGUGGAUGGAUGGCUCAGCCCCCACCUACAUAAACUGGGACUCCAGGAAAUUGGAUGAUAAUGGAACCACCCCAGCCUGUGUGAUGAUGCUCUACCAGGGACACUGGAGCAACUCCUCUUGCAAAUCAGAGUCUCCUGUUUACAUCUGUGAGAAGAGGCAGAGCUGCUGACCUAGGCCCCUACCCCAUAAGAUUGGUGUAAACCUCUUGUUGUGCAUCCUCAACCUCCAUCCCUGCCCUCUCUGGGCUCUGAAUCCCCAGAGGCAACAAUAAAGGACGUUUCUCCAAA
rnacentral:lncRNA from 1 species